ACCUUUUAAAGGUAUGGAGAGUCAACUUGACUACACCGUGUGGAGCAAGUUUUAAAAAAGCAAAGGACUCAGAAUUCAUGCUUGAAGAAAUGCAGGCAGACCUGUUAUCGUAAACUAGGGUUUUUAAUGACCACAGCAAGCAAGCAUGUAGCUUACCGCUUGAAAGGGUCUUGCCUCACCCAAGCUGGAGUGCAGUGGCCCUUUGAGGCUUACUACAGCCUCAGACUUCUGGGCUCAAGUGAUCCUCAGCCUCCCAAUGGUCUUUGUAGACAGCCUGAUGGAGUUUCAUGGCACAAGAAGAUUAAAACAGUGUCUCCAAUUUUAAUAAAUUUUUGCAAUCCA